GACAGAGGGUGCAAACGUUGUUCGGAAUUACUGGGCGUAAAGCGCACGUAGGCGGUUUGUCGCGUCUGCCGUGAAAGUCCGGGGCUCAACUCCGGAUCUGCGGUGGGUACGGGCAGACUAGAGUGAUGUAGGGGAGACUGGAAUUCCUGGUGUAGCGGUGAAAUGCGCAGAUAUCAGGAGGAACACCGAUGGCGAAGGCAGGUCUCUGGGCAUUAACUGACGCUGAGGAGCGAAAGCAUGGGGAGCGAACAGG
rnacentral:rRNA from 1 species